AUACGGAGGAUGCGAGCGUUAUCCGGAUUUAUUGGGUUUAAAGGGUGCGUAGGCUGUGCGUUAGGUCAGGGGUGAAAUGCCGUCGCUCAACGACGGAGCUGCCCUUGAUACUGGCGUGCUGGAGUACGGAUGCCGUUGGAGGAAUGCGUGGUGUAGCGGUGAAAUGCUUAGAUAUCACUAAGAACACCGAUUGCGAAGGCAUCUGACGAAUCCGUCACUGACGCUGAGGCACGAAAGCGUGGGGAUAGAACAGGAUUAGAUACCCUGGUAUUCCACGCCGUAAACGAUGAUGACUAACCGUCGGCGAUAGACAGCCGGUGGCCAAGCGAAAGCGAUAAGUCAUCCACCUGGGGAGUACGUCGGCAACGAUGAAACUCAAAGGAAUUGACGGGG
rnacentral:rRNA from 1 species